rnacentral:rRNA from 1 species
AGCGAACGCUGGCGGCAGGCCUAACACAUGCAAGUCGAACGAACCUUUCGGGGUUAGUGGCGGACGGGUGAGUAACACGUGGGAACGUGCCUUUAGGUUCGGAAUAACUCAGGGAAACUUGUGCUAAUACCGAAUGUGCCCUUCGGGGGAAAGAUCUAUCGCCUUUAGAGCGGCCCGCGUCUGAUUAGCUAGUUGGUUGAGGUAAUGGCUCACCAAGGCGACGAUCAGUAGCUGGUCUGAGAGGAUGAUCAGCCACAUUGGGACUGAGACACGGCCCAUACUCCUACGGGAGGCAGCAGUGGGGAAUCUUGCGCAAUGGGCGAAAGCCUGACGCAGCCAUGCCGCGUGAAUGAUGAAGGUCUUAGGAUUGUAAAAUUCUUUCACCGGGGACGAUAAUGACGGUACCCGGAGAAGAAGCCCCGGCUAACUUCGUG